rnacentral:rRNA from 1 species
UACAGAGGGGGGCAAGCGUUGUUCGGAAUUACUGGGCGUAAAGGGCGCGUAGGCGGCCUGCUAAGUCGAACGUGAAAUCCCUGGGCUCAACCCAGGAACUGCGUCCGAUACUGGUUGGCUUGAAUCCGGGAGAAGGAUGUGGAAUUCCAGGUGUAGCGGUGAAAUGCGUAGAUAUCUGGAAGAACACCCGUGGCGAAGGCGGCUUUCUGGGACGGUACUGACGCUGAGACGCGAAAGCGUGGGGAGCGAACAGG